GGAGGGUCAUACCGAGUUUACACUCCCAAACCCCUGUGAACAUACCAAUUUGUUGCCUCGGCGGAUCAGCCCGCUCCCGGUAAAACGGGACGGCCCGCCAGAGGACCCCUAAACUCUGUUUCUAUAUGUAACUUCUGAGUAAAACCAUAAAUAAAUCAAAACUUUCAACAACGGAUCUCUUGGUUCUGGCAUCGAUGAAGAACGCAGCAAAAUGCGAUAAGUAAUGUGAAUUGCAGAAUUCAGUGAAUCAUCGAAUCUUUGAACGCACAUUGCGCCCGCCAGUAUUCUGGCGGGCAUGCCUGUUCGAGCGUCAUUUCAACCCUCAAGCCCCCGGGUUUGGUGUUGGGGAUCGGCGAGUCCUUGCGGCAAGCCGGCCCCGAAAUCUAGUGGCGGGGUCGCUGCAGCUUCCAUUGCGUAGUAGUAAAACCCUCGCAACUGGUACGCGGCGCGGCCAAGCCGUUAAACCCCCAACUUCUGAAUGUUGACCUCGGAUCAGGUAGGAAUACCCGCUG
rnacentral:rRNA from 1 species